ensembl:lncRNA
ACCUGCUGUAGCACCAUUCAGAUUUGCACUUAGUUACCCAGAGACAACACUCACUGACUGUAAGAAGAAUAUUUAUUUUCGAGUUAAGUUUCAAGUUAUGUUUUUUUUCCUCCCCCAUUCAACCUCAAAGAUCAAUGCACUCACAAAUGUGCUCUACCUAUCUGUCUAUAACAGGCUGUGGUGAACAGAAGAUAUCUACCAGAAGGAAGGGAGCUACACUGUAUUCAUAUGUCUUCAAGCAAUUUGGAUCCUGGUAAACACGGAUUCCAGGAAGAGAAACCCAGAAAGCUCUCCUGGUGGGUAAAAAGACUUCUGGC